UACGGAGGGGGCGAGCGUUAUUCGGAAUUAUUGGGCGUAAAGGGCGCGUAGGCGGCCUGAUAAGUCAAAGGUGAAAUCCCUCGGCUCAACUGAGGAAUUGCCUUUGAAACUGUCAGGCUUGAGGCCGGGAGGGGGGUGGCGGAAUUCCCAGUGUAGCGGUGAAAUGCGUAGAUAUUGGGAGGAACACCAGUGGCGAAGGCGGCCACCUGGACCGGUUCUGACGCUGAUGCGCGAAAAGCGUGGGGAGCAAACAGG
rnacentral:rRNA from 1 species